rnacentral:rRNA from 1 species
UACGGGGGGUGCGAGCGUUGUCCGGAAUCAUUGGGCGUAAAGGGUGCGUAGGUGGCGCCGUAAGUCAGGUGUGAAAUUUCGGAGCUUAACUCCGAAACUGCAUUUGAUACUGCGGUGCUUGAGGACUGGAGAGGAGACUGGAAUUUACGGUGUAGCAGUGAAAUGCGUAGAGAUCGUAAGGAAGACCAGUGGCGAAGGCGGGUCUCUGGACAGUUCCUGACACUGAGGCACGAAGGCCAGGGGAGCAAACGGG